CUCUAUGGCCAUGCUACCCUGAAUAAGCCUGAUCCCGUCUGAAUUCAGAAGCUAAGCAGAGUCGGGCCUGGUUAGUACUUGGCUAGGAGACCACCUAGGAAGACCAGGUGCUGUAGGCG
ensembl:rRNA 5S_rRNA 5S ribosomal RNA